UACGUAGGGGGCGAGCGUUGUCCGGAUUUAUUGGGCGUAAAGGGCUCGUAGGCGGUUUGGUAAGUUGGGUGUGAAAUCUCCAGGCUCAACUUGGAGGGGUCAUUCGAUACUGCCAUGACUAGAGUUCGGUAGGGGAGUGUGGAAUUCCUGGUGGAGCGGUGAAAUGCGCAGAUAUCAGGAGGAACACCCGUAGCGAAGGCGGCACUCUGGGCCGGAACUGACGCUGAGGAGCGAAAGCGUGGGGAGCGAACAGG
rnacentral:rRNA from 1 species